UACGUAGGGCGCAAGCGUUAUCCGGAAUUAUUGGGCGUAAAGAGCUCGUAGGCGGUUUGGCGCGUCUGCUGUGAAAGACCGGGGCUCAACUCCGGUUCUGCAGUGGGUACGGGCAGACUAGAGUGAUGUAGGGGAGACUGGAAUUCCUGGUGUAGCGGUGAAAUGCGCAGAUAUCAGGAGGAACACCGAUGGCGAAGGCAGGUCUCUGGGCAUUAACUGACGCUGAGGAGCGAAAGCAUGGGGAGCGAACAGG
rnacentral:rRNA from 1 species